AAGCCGACAGCUUGCUGUUGGUGGAUGAGUGGCGAACGGGUGAGUAACACGUGAGUAACCUGCCCCUGAUUUCGGGAUAAGCCUGGGAAACUGGGUCUAAUACCGGAUACGACCUCCUGACGCAUGUUGGGUGGUGGAAAGUUUUUCGAUCGGGGAUGGGCUCGCGGCCUAUCAGCUUGUUGGUGGGGUAAUGGCCUACCAAGGCGACGACGGGUAGCCGGCCUGAGAGGGCGACCGGCCACACUGGGACUGAGACACGGCCCAGACUCCUACGGGAGGCAGCAGUGGGGAAUAUUGCACAAUGGGGGAAACCCUGAUGCAGCGACGCAGCGUGCGGGAUGACGGCCUUCGGGUUGUAAACCGCUUUCAGCAGGGAAGAAGCGAAAGUGACGGUACCUGCAGAAGAAGUACCGGCUAACUACGUGCCAGCAGCCGCGGUAAUACGUAGGGUACGAGCGUUGUCCGGAAUUAUUGGGCGUAAAGAGCUCGUAGGUGGUUGGUCACGUCUGCUGUGGAAACGCAACGCUUAACGUUGCGCGUGCAGUGGGUACGGGCUGACUAGAGUGCAGUAGGGGAGUCUGGAAUUCCUGGUGUAGCGGUGAAAUGCGCAGAUAUCAGGA
rnacentral:rRNA from 2 species